rnacentral:rRNA from 1 species
GUGCCGUGAGGUGUUGGGUUAAGUCCCGCAACGAGCGCAACCCCUAUCUUUAGUUUGCCAUCAGUUCGGCUGGGCACUCUAUGGAGACUGCCACCUAAAGUGGAGGAAGGUGGGGAUGACGUCAAGUCAGCAUGGCCCUUACGUCCGGGGCUACACACGUGCUACAAUGGCCGGUACAAAGGGUUGUGAAGCCGUGAGGUGGAGCGAAAUCUCAAAAAAGCCGGCCUCAGUUCGGAUUGGAGGCUGCAACUCGCCUCCAUGAAGUCGGAAUCGCUAGUAACCGCAGAUCAGCUACGUUGCGGUGAAUACGUUCCGGGCCUU